UACGUAGGGGCUAGCGUUAUCCGGAAUUACUGGGCGUAAAGGGUGCGUAGGUGGUUUCUUAAGUCAGAGGUGAUAGGCUACGGCUCAACCGUAGUAAGCCUUUGAAACUGGGAAACUUGAGUGCAGGAGAGGAGAGUGGAAUUCCUAGUGUAGCGGUGAAAUGCGUAGAUAUUAGGAGGAACACCAGUUGCGAAGGCGGCUCUCUGGACUGUAACUGACACUGAGGCACGAAAGCGUGGGGAGCAAACAGGAUUAGAUACCCGCGUAGUCCCUGA
rnacentral:rRNA from 1 species